UGGAGUCCUGUAGCUCAAUGGUUAGAGCACUCGCUUCCCAAGCAAGAAACCUGGGUUCGAUUCCCAGCAGUGCAA